UUCUUGUUUUUGGACGGAAUAUCUCCUUUUCCAAGGAUCAUGAUGUCAUCUGCGAAGCAUAAGUUGGUAAGGUUUGUUCUCCAACGACGAGGAUGAAAAUUUGUCUUCCCUUGUGAUGCUCACAUUUUGAGAAGCUUACUAAGUUCCUCAAUAACCUAACCAGACAAGUGUGGAUAAAGUGGGCUGCCUCAUCGAAUUCCUUCCUUCCCUUGAAAGAACCCCUUUAAAUCCUCCAUUAAUAGAAAUUGAAAAAAGAGGAGCAGUAAUGCGAUAUUUGAACCAGUUAGUGAAUUGAAUUGGAACAUUAAUAGGCUCAAGAAUAUUUAGAAUGAAUUCCCAUUUAACUGAAUGAAACCCCUUCAUUAUAUCUGCAUUUAUAUGAGAUAUUGGAGACAACUAUGAUAAUUACUUGCAAGUCAUGUGCAAUCACCGGAUUAUCCUCAAAUUUCCUCCCCUCCAUGAUUGCAUUUUGAUUUGAGCUAACAAGAUAGUGAAAAAUCCGCUCUAAUCUCGAAACAAGAAUCUUAGUGAUGCAUUUAUCUAUAACUUUGCAGCAAGGAAUGGGUCUGAACUCUAUCGUUCUUACAUAAUAUUCUACUUUAGAAACUAGUGUUAUAGCUGUUGCAUUCACAAAUUCAUCAUUUGCAUGUGUGAGCUGAUAAAAUCAGUUUUCCUUUCUUCUGAUUCACUUUCGAGGAGAAAAGACAGUUCAAGAUUUAAAAAAGACAAGGAGCAAGUGACAUGGAAAGAUAAGUUCAUUGAUUCUCCUAUAAUGCAUUCUGUAACUCAUAAACUUCCUUUUCCUCCUAAUAAGCAUACAAUUGCAUUCUUUAAGUUUCCACCCCAACAUUGUAGUUGAUACAUAAAAGUUUAUAUAUUGAACGUGCCAAACGAGUAGUAUCCUAAAUUAGAUACGAUAAUACAAAAUGGCAACAUGGUGUCGUGGUGGAUUUUUGUGCCUUUUGGAAUUCAGACUUGCUUAUUAAAGAAAUCUCUCACGUGAGAAACCCGUUAUGUUCAUAAUCUUCCCACCGAUGGAAGGUACAUACACACUCUCUCUCUCCUCAGAAACCCAGCUCUGCCUCUUCUAGCUCACCAGUUGGCCGUCGAAACCAAGUCGUUUCGAAUGGAGAGUUCGCCCGCGGGAGCAUCUGAUUUACAAAACACCCCGGGAGCUCUAGUGCUGGAUGAUUUUGUUCAGGAGCGUGGUGAUUGCCCCCGUGAAUGUCGUUUGCUUCUGGAGGAACUUCACCGCUGCAUUGUCGACUCUGGUCCCGGUACAACUUCCCUCACGCAUUAAUUCUUUAUACUAGAUCAGAUUAAUGGCCAAAUUCAUCCGAGAUCCUUGAAGUUUAAGAAGAACAUCUGUGGAAAACCCAAGAUAGGUGUUGAUCUUGAAGAGAAGCAAAGGAGAUUGAAGAACAAUAUCGUAGCCUUUGCUAGGAGGUACUUCACUCCACAUGAAGUGCAAAUUUCGAGUUACCUUGGAGUUCAGCAUCAGCAUUUUGUAAAAUUGUGGACUCUCAAGGAAUCUUAUGUGAAGGCGUUGGGAAGAGGCUUCUCUGCACUACCCUUUAAAAGAUUUUCCAUACGAUUCAGGAAAGCCGAGAAGAAGGUUCUUGUCCUUCCGGUGAAUCACAUAAUGAGGUACAAACAUAAUUGUUCAACAGACCUGCAACCUGCUUCGGCUUUCACCUUUAUGCUUCACUUACAAAUCUUAGCAAGCAAUGAUUUGCAUCUGUGGCCAAAUCUACAAAUUCUGCAGCCAGUCCAGAUCUGGAAUCCUUUUGUCAAUUUUCGUACAGUAUAGCUGCUGAAAUUGCAUGUUUUUGUCAUGUUUAUCUUGAGACCUAAAAUUUAGGGCUGGAUUAUAGCAAAUGCAAUUGUAAUAUAGCAAAUAUUUUUAUGGGCUUGCCAUGCACUGCAUUUCAUGCCUUGAGACUCAUCUUCUAUUUGUUCAAUUGCAAUUAUAAUCUUCUAAUUUACUCAAACGAGUGUACUAUAACGUAAAACUGUUGGAAAAUAUAUGCCUUUCCUUCUUUACUUGGAUGGUCCUAGUGUGUUGUUGAUCUGGUUCCUAAGAUAUGAAUAAAUUCCUCCAUACCACAACUUACCGAUUUGAUUUUGUACCACUCUAUUCAUGUUCUUCUCUGUGGUUCAUCAUGUGAAGCCUGUCUUUUGUGAAUUUAUGGAAUUCUAGAGUCUGCAUUUCACUUUACAAUAUGCUCAGGGUGAGAUAAUUGUGGAAUCUCUUGAGGACCUUUAUAGCUUCAGCAGUGAUUGGCAGUUCACUCUGCUGAAAUUAGCAGGCUCUCACCAUGCUGCCAUCUGCAUGGAAAGGGGUGAAGCUGUCAAAGAGUGGUGAAGAACAAGCAGCGUGAAAUGAGAAGCCAGCUGCCGGUAAAAGCUUUCCACUCCUUGCCUGUCACGAGUAUUACUUGUUGCCCUUGGAAAAAUUAUGUGAAUG